rnacentral:rRNA from 1 species
AUUGAACGCUGGCGGCAUGCCUUACACAUGCAAGUCGAACGGUAACAGGUCUUCGGAUGCUGACGAGUGGCGAACGGGUGUGUAAUACAUCGGAACGUGCCCGAUCGUGGGGGAUAACGAGGCGAAAGCUUUGCUAAUACCGCAUACGAUCUACGGAUGAAAGCGGGGGAUCUUCGGACCUCGCGCGGACGGAGCGGCCGAUGGCAGAUUAGGUAGUUGGUGGGAUAAAAGCUUACCAAGCCGACGAUCUGUAGCUGGUCUGAGAGGAUGGUCAGCCACACUGGGACUGAGACACGGCCCAGACUCCUACGGGAGGCAGCAGUGGGGAAUUUUGGACAAUGGGCGAAAGCCUGAUCCAGCCAUGCCGCGUGCAGGAUGAAGGCCUUUGGGUUGUAAACUGCUUUUGUACGGAACGAAAAGCCUCUUUCUAAUAAAGAGGGGUCAUGACGGUACCGUAAGAAUAAGCACCGGCUAACUACGUG